GGCCUGAACGCUGGCGGCGUGGCUAAGACAUGCAAGUCGUACGGGGGCCGUAGUAAUACGGUCCAGUGGCGGACGGGUGAGUAAUGAAUCGCUAAUGUACCCCGGACUCUGGGAUAGCCGGCCGAAAGGCCGGGUAAUACCAGAUGAUAUAUCCAUAAGGCAUCUUGUGGAUCUCAAAGGGAAACCGGUCUGGGCGCAGGCGAUUUCGUAUCAGGUAGUUGGUGCGGGUAACGGCCCACCAAGCCGACGACGCGUAGCUGGUCUGAGAGGACGGCCAGCCACAUUGGGACUGAGACACUGCCCAGACUCCUACGGGGGGCCUGCAGUAACGAAUCUUCCGCAAUGCACGCAAGUGUGACGGAGCGACGCGCGUGGAGUUAAGUCCUUCGGA
rnacentral:rRNA from 1 species